rnacentral:misc_RNA from 1 species
GAGAAGAACGCAGCGAAAUGCGAUAAGUAGUGUGAAUUGCAGAAUUCAGUGAAUCAUCGAAUCUUUGAACGCACAUUGCGCCCUUUGGUAUUCCAAAGGGCAUGCCUGUUCGAGCGUCAUUUGUACCCUCAAGCUUUGCUUGGUGUUGGGCGUCUUGUCUCUAGCUUUGCUGGAGACUCGCCUUAAAGUAAUUGGCAGCCGGCCUACUGGUUUCGGAGCGCAGCACAAGUCGCACUCUCUAUCAGCAAAGGUCUAGCAUCCAUUAAGCCUUUUUUUCAACUUUUGACCUCGGAUCAGGUAGGGAUACCCGCUGAACUUAAGCAUAUCAAUAAGCGGAGGA